rnacentral:rRNA from 1 species
GAUCCUGGCUCAGGAUGAACGCUAGCGGCAGGCCUAACACAUGCAAGUCGAGGGGCAGCGGGAUUGAAGCUUGCUUCAAUCGCCGGCGACCGGCGCACGGGUGCGUAACGCGUAUGCAACCUACCCAGAACAGGGGGAUAACACUGAGAAAUUGGUACUAAUAUCCCAUAACAUCAUAAGGGGCAUCCCUUUUGGUUGAAAACUCCGGUGGUUCUGGAUGGGCAUGCGUUGUAUUAGCUGGUUGG